rnacentral:antisense_RNA from 1 species
GGGCGCUUGAGACUAUCUGUCUCUGGCGUGCUGGAGCGGAUAGAAGAAAGCCCCAAAUGAUCUUUCAAUCAAUUUGAGGCCCAUCUAAUGCUUCGCAACAUAAGAUUAGCCUCUUACCUAACAAGAAGCAAGGAGAGAAGGCUAUGAAG